UCCUAAAGUGAAAAUAAUUCUAUCAGAAGAUUUCAGACAUGUUCUACUUAUUACCUUAUUUCAGAGUAUAUAUGUUUUUCAAACAUAACUAGUAAGGUGGUAACCGAGACUAUGUUUUCAAUGCCAUCUGUCACUGGAUCAUAUAUUUUUUUUUUUACCAUCCAAAAUGGAAAUAAAUGCUUGAAAUUAAAAGCUUGGGUACCGUCUGUCUGACAUAGGAAAUGUGAGGGAUUUUGCCUAUUGUGUGCCAUGCUGCUUAGAACAGAGAAUGAGAACAGAGAGGCUGUCUUGGGAAAGGAUGUGUCACAACAACAAAACCAUCUUUAAUGGCCUUCGUUUGAACCCAUACCCCCAUUUCUUCUUUAGGGUAUUUGAUGUUCUCAUAUUGAAGCUUCGGUGAGCCCAGAUUGGCUGUAUCCUUAAUAAGACCCCACAGCUGGUCCCUCAUUCAUCCUGCUCUCUGGUGAGCAUAAGGAGAGUAAACUAGGAGCCUAGCUCAGGCUGGGGCUUGGGGAAGAGGUGACCAAGGGAGUGGAGAGGACAGGAGUGGACAUCAUUUAAAGUCACUAUAGCCAGGCUCAGCCCAACAGCACUAUGCCUAGAUUGGCAUCUUGUUUUCUGACUGUUGAAAGGUUCCUUUUGUCCCUUCUGCAGAAUCCACCAGAGUCCUGCAGAAUCAAACCACAAACACUGGAGAAAAUCACUGAGUGAAAGCAGGCAUCACUGCUUCCUAGAACUGCAUGCUGUGCUUAUGCCACUAGGCCUCCAGGUAAUCCUCCUGCAGAAGAUUGCAGAUCAGUUAAGGACAUGCAGGACACGCGGCCCACCAAGAAGUCUGGGACUUCUACUUAUCUCUCCUUUCUCAUGUAUAGUGACUUCUAUUUUUGUCUUUCACUUAAAUAGAGGUGUAUCUUAAUGAAAAUAUUCUUGACAACAAGAUGGGAAUCCAGGCUGGGGCAGGAAAUGAACCAAAACCGUCUAGGACCCUGGGUUUAAAAACUGAUGAGAAGAACUUGAUGGGCCCCCACCAUGGAUCCUUCACAGCAUCAGCAACCUCCUCCAGGAAGCUCGACAAGGGAAGUGCAAUAAGCUCCUCCCGGGAAGCUUGGCCAAGAAGGGCAAAACCUUCCUCUAGUAUCUGAACUUUGUGUACAGAAGUUCGAAUAGGAAUGGGAGAUGUGAAUUACCCAUAAUUGUUUUAGAGACUGUAAAAAGCAGGGUCUUCUCCAACCCAGCCUCAGCUUUACUUCCACAGUGCCUAGCUCCCAGGAAUUCUAAAAGAAGUAAGAUUGAGGAUGGGGAGCUCCAACAAACUUGGGAGCUGUGGGCCACUUCACUUUGUCCUUCUCUCCUCAUUCCAUCUCCUGAAACAAUGAUGAAUCCAACAAGAUCAAGAGCCUAAAUGUCACAAGGGAAAGGGAAGAACACAAAAUGCUUCUGCAUCUAUCUUUGUGCGAUAACAUUUUUAGUUCUUCAAGAAACUUACAUGGCAAGAAAAGUUGCAAGGAGGAUGGUGUGACCUUUAAAAGAAUCCAUAUAUAUCAAGACUACCAAGCUAAUUAAACAGGAUUGUGAGAGAGAAGGAGAUGAGUAAAUGCUUUUUGCUUUAAGGAUUUAAGGGAAAUUUCCCAAGACUGGCCAGGUGGACAGCAAUCCAGAUGAAUAAGGUUUUCGUGACUCUCACAGAAUACUUGAGUGCCUGAAAGCCUGCACAGCGGUGUGUUGAAAACUGCCGAGCCACACAAAGGAGUUUUUUAACCACUCAUUCGUGCUACUGGGAAUAGCUCAUGGCCAGACUGUGGACAGAGGGAACAACCAGGCGUCACCCAUCAGGGGCUCACACGCUAGGCCCAUUAUAGCUGGCCUGGUCAAUGCCGCUUGGCCCUAGUGAACUCUACGCACUCUCAGUUCUGACGUCUGAUGUCCACAAAGGAAGAGGCAGCUGUUCAUUCCACGAAUGGGGGCAGCACAAGACAGAAGGGACAGUUAUAAUUGUACUGACCAGGGCUCUGCUCAUUAGAGCAAAGAAUGGCACAGACCCCCCCAUUGCCCCUGCAAGAAGAUGGGUGUUGCCAGGAAAGCCCCUGCUGUGCUGGGAUCGUCCUUCCUUACCUCUCU